rnacentral:rRNA from 1 species
UACAGAGGUCCCAAGCGUUGUUCGGAUUCAUUGGGCGUAAAGGGUGCGUAGGAGGGCAGGUAAGUCAGUGGUGAAAUCUCCAAGCUUAACUUGGAAACUGCCGUUGAUACUAUCUGUCUUGAAUAUUGUGGAGGUGAGCGGAAUAUGUCAUGUAGCGGUGAAAUGCUUAGAUAUGACAUAGAACACCAAUUGCGAAGGCAGCUCGCUACACAUAUAUUGACUCUGAGGCACGAAAGCGUGGGGAUCAAACAGG